rnacentral:rRNA from 1 species
UACGUAGGGCGCGAGCGUUGUCCGGAUUUAUUGGGCGUAAAGAGCUCGUAGGCGGCUUGUCGCGUCGACCGUGAAAACUUGGGGCUCAACCCCAAGCCUGCGGUCGAUACGGGCAGGCUCGAGUUCGGUAGGGGAGACUGGAAUUCCUGGUGUAGCGGUGAAAUGACGCAGAUAUCAGGAGGAACACCGAUGGCGAAGGCAGGCCUCUGGGCCGAUACUGACGCUGAGGAGCGAAAGCGUGGGGAGCGAACAGG